UGUGUGUGUGUGUGUGUGUGUGUGUGUGUGUGUGCCCAUGCAGCUACCUUCCUGGCACUGGAGUGAUGGCAGCUCCUCAGAAUGAUGAAAUUUAAAGGAAGAACACAGGUGGACAUUAUCUCAAGAACUAGAAAAAUUAUGAGCAGUGAAUGAAAUCUCACUGAACAUAAUGAAGUAAGUGAUCAUGAAAAGGCAUCAUAUUAAAUGCUCUGUAUGCUGGAAGAUAAAUUAGGCA
rnacentral:lncRNA from 1 species